CGGGUGAGUAACACGUGGGAAUCUGCCCAUUAGUGGGGGAUAACUCGGGGAAACUCGAGCUAAUACCGCAUAAUCCCUACGGGGGAAAGCAGGGGAUCUUCGGACCUUGCGCUGAUGGAUGAGCCCGCGUCGGAUUAGCUUGUUGGUGGGGUAAUGGCCCACCAAGGCGACGAUCCGUAACUGGUCUGAGAGGAUGGCCAGUCACACCGGGACUGAGACACGGCCCGGACUCCUACGGGAGGCAGCAGUGGGGAAUCUUGGACAAUGGGCGCAAGCCUGAUCCAGCCAUGCCGCGUGUGUGAAGAAGGCCUUCGGGUUGUAAAGCACUUUCAGUAGGGAGGAAGGCUUUGGGCUAAUACCCUGGAGUACUUGACGUUACCUACAGAAGAAGCACCGGCUAAUUUCGUGCCAGCAGCCGCGGUAAUACGAAAGGUGCGAGCGUUAAUCGGAAUUACUGGGCGUAAAGCGCGCGUAGGCGGUGUGUUAAGUCGGAUGUGAAA
rnacentral:rRNA from 3 species